rnacentral:rRNA from 1 species
CCUACGGGAGGCAGCAGUGGGGAAUCUUGCGCAAUGGGCGAAAGCCUGACGCAGCCAUGCCGCGUGAAUGAUGAAGGUCUUAGGAUUGUAAAAAUUCUUUUCACCGGGGACGAUAAUGACGGUACCCGGAGAAGAAGCCCCGGCUAACUUCGUGCCAGCAGCCGCGGUAAUACGAAGGGGGGCUAGCGUUGCUCGGAAUUACUGGGCGUAAAGGGAGCGUAGGCGGAUAGUUUAGUCAGAGGUGAAAGCCCAGGGCUCAACCUUGGAAUUGCCUUUGAUACUGGCUAUCUUGAGUAUGGGAGAGGUUAGCGGAACUCCGAGUGUAGAGGUGAAAUUCGUAGAUAUUCGGAAGAACACCAGUGGCGAAGGCGGCUAACUGGCCCAUUACUGACGCUGAGGCUCGAAAGCGUGGGGAGCAAACAGGAUUAGAUACCCUGGUAGUCCACGCCGUAAACGAUGAGUGCUAGUUGUCGGCAUGCAUGCAUGUCGGUGACGCAGCUAACGCAUUAAGCACUCCGCCUGGGGAGUACGGUCGCAAGAUUAAAACUCAAAUGAAUUGACGG